rnacentral:rRNA from 1 species
UUAGAUACCCUAUUAUUUUAAAUGUAAAAUAUUAAGCUAAGUGAUUAAUAGUUAAGUUCUUUAAAGCUAAACAAUUUGGCGGUAUUUUAAACUUUUCAGAGGAACCUGUCCUAUAAUCGAUAUUCCACGAUUUAAUAUACUUUAAUUAUAAAUUUUUAUAUCAUCGUUUUUAAAUAUUUUUUAAGAAUUAAAUAUUUAAAAUUUCUUUAUGAAGAAAAAAAUCAGAUCAAGGUGAAGUUUAUAUUAAAGAAGAGAUGGGUUACAAUUAAAUUUUAUUAGUGGAUCUUAUAUUUGAAAAAUUUUUUGAAAUUGGAUUUGAAAGUAAUUAAAUAAUU